rnacentral:rRNA from 1 species
CUACGGGAUGCUCCAGUGAGGAAUAUUGCACAAUGGGGGGAACCCUGAUGCAGCAACGCCGCGUGGAGGAUGACGCAUUUCGGUGUGUAAACUCCUUUUAUAUGUCAAGAAAAUGACGGUAGCAUAUGAAUAAGCACCGGCUAACUCCGUGCCAGCAGUCGCGGUAAUACGGAGGGUGCAAGCGUUACUCGGAAUCACUGGGCGUAAAGGACGCGUAGGCGGGUUGGAAAGUCAGGUGUGAAAUCCUACAGCUUAACUGUAGAACUGCACUUGAAACUUCUAAUCUAGAGUAUGGGAGGGGGAGAUGGAAUUAGUGGUGUAGGGGUGAAAUCCGUAGAUAUCACUAGGAAUACCUAAAGCGAAGGCGAUCUCCUGGAACAUUACUGACGCUAAGGCGUGAAAGCGUGGGGAGCAAACAGGAUUAGAUACCCUGGUAGUC